GAUGUAGCCAAGUGGCUCAAGGCAGUG
rnacentral:tRNA from 1 species